rnacentral:rRNA from 1 species
UAGAACGCUGAAGAGAGGAGCUUGCUCUUCUUGGAUGAGUUGCGAACGGGUGAGUAACGCGUAGGUAACCUGCCUUGUAGCGGGGGAUAACUAUUGGAAACGAUAGCUAAUACCGCAUAACAAUGGAUGACACAUGUCAUUUAUUUGAAAGGGGCAAUUGCUCCACUACAAGAUGGACCUGCGUUGUAUUAGCUAGUAGGUGAGGUAAUGGCUCACCUAGGCGACGAUACAUAGCCGACCUGAGAGGGUGAUCGGCCACACUGGGACUGAGACACGGCCCAGACUCCUACGGGAGGCAGCAGUAGGGAAUCUUCGGCAAUGGGGGCAACCCUGACCGAGCAACGCCGCGUGAGUGAAGAAGGUUUUCGGAUCGUAAAGCUCUGUUGUAAGUCAAGAACGGGUGUGAGAGUGGAAAGUUCACACUGUGACGGUAGCUUACCAGAAAGGGACGGCUAACUACGUGCCAGCAGCCGCGGUAAUACGUAGGUCCCGAGCGUUGUCCGGAUUUAUUGGGCGUAAAGCGAGCGCAGGCGGUUUGAUAAGUCUGAAGUUAAAGGCUGUGGCUCAACCAUAGUUCGCUUUGGAAACUGUCAAACUUGAGUGCAGAAGGGGAGAGUGGAAUUCCAUGUGUAGCGGUGAAAUGCGUAGAUAUAUGGAGGAACACCGGUGGCGAAAGCGGCUCUCUGGUCUGUAACUGACGCUGAGGCUCGAAAGCGUGGGGAGCGAACAGGAUUAGAUACCCUGGUAGUCCACGCCGUAAACGAUGAGUGCUAGGUGUUGGAUCCUUUCCGGGAUUCAGUGCCGCAGCUAACGCAUUAAGCACUCCGCCUGGGGAGUACGACCGCAAGGUUGAAACUCAAAGGAAUUGACGGGGGCCCGCACAAGCGGUGGAGCAUGUGGUUUAAUUCGAAGCAACGCGAAGAACCUUACCAGGUCUUGACAUCCCGAUGCUAUUUCUAGAGAUAGAAAGUUACUUCGGUACAUCGGUGACAGGUGGUGCAUGGUUGUCGUCAGCUCGUGUCGUGAGAUGUUGGGUUAAGUCCCGCAACGAGCGCAACCCCUAUUGUUAGUUGCCAUCAUUCAGUUGGGCACUCUAGCGAGACUGCCGGUAAUAAACCGGAGGAAGGUGGGGAUGACGUCAAAUCAUCAUGCCCCUUAUGACCUGGGCUACACACGUGCUACAAUGGUUGGUACAACGAGUUGCGAGUCGGUGACGGCGAGCUAAUCUCUUAAAGCCAAUCUCAGUUCGGAUUGUAGGCUGCAACUCGCCUACAUGAAGUCGGAAUCGCUAGUAAUCGCGGAUCAGCACGCCGCGGUGAAUACGUUCCCGGGCCUUGUACACACCGCCCGUCACACCACGAGAGUUUGUAACACCCGAAGUCGGUGAGGUAAC